rnacentral:tRNA from 1 species
UGGGGGAUCGUCUAGCGGUAGGACUCAGGGCUCUGAACCCUGCUACCUAGGUUCGAAUCCUGGUCCCCCAGCCA